UACAGAGGUCUCAAGCGUUGUUCGGAUUCAUUGGGCGUAAAGGGUGCGCAGGCGGCACGGUAAGUCGGGUGUGAAAUCUCGGAGCUUAACUCCGAAACUGCAUUCGAUACUGCCGUGCUUGAGGACUGGAGAGGAGACUGGAAUUUACGGUGUAGCGGUGAAAUGCGUAGAGAUCAUGAGGAAGACCAGUGGCGAAGGCGGGUCUCUGGACAGUUCCUGACACUGAGGCACGAAGGCCAGGGGAGCAAACGGG
rnacentral:rRNA from 1 species